rnacentral:rRNA from 1 species
UGAGGAACAUGACCUUCGGCGGGGGAUAGCCGGCCCAACGGCCGGGUAAUACCGCGUACGACCACAUGGGGACAUCCCUGAGUGGUGAAAGCAGCAAUGCGCCGAUGGAGUGCCUCGCGGCCUAUCAGCUAGUUGGUGAGGUAACGGCUCACCAAGGCGACGACGGGUAGCUGGUCUGAGAGGAUGGCCAGCCCACAUUGGGACUGAGACACGGCCCAGACUNUACGGGAGG